rnacentral:lncRNA from 10 species
AGAUGGCGAAGAAGAUGAGCGCAGCGCACAGCACCAGAGACAGCAUGUAGCAGAACGCAGCGAAAGUGAAGGCCAUGGCCGGCGGACCCCAAUCCCACCACACACGCCAAGAAGCCCCUAGGAGCCCGAUGCCUCCCUAGAGGACCGCACUCCCUCCAAGGAGCCGCGUCUGCACGCUCCUCUCCAGGCUAGUGCCCAGGAGGGCGCACAGCUAGCGAAGCGACUCGAGGGUCAGCGAAUAAGCGCUGGAUUCCCGCAGGCUCCGGCGACCCCAGACCCGGCCCUCCGGCGAAGACAGGAAAACGUGUGUCGAGAGUCGCUGGAGGGAACCGUCCGCAAAUCGAAGAAGAAACCAAAUCAGCAGCGAACACCUGCAAAUUAGUGCCAAGCUGUGAGCCCCUCGAGACCAACACGACAAGCGAUGCGACGACUCCACGGAGGACCGAGGGAGGAGGUCCCAUUCGCCCCAGGAAGAGCUCUCUGCUUUUCUCCACUAAACCGCUGAGGAGAGACGAGCGCUCCGCUCCGGACCCUCCCGCGCCACCGGGGCGCAAACGGAUAGUGUCCAGCGAGGUGCCCGAGCGGCCUCCGAGCUCCUCCCAAAUCCCAGAGCCGGGCAGCGCUCUUUCCCGAGAGAAGGAGUCUUUAGGUAGCCGGGAGGAGGUAGGUCCCGUUGGUCCUGCGCCCCAGACGCGGCUUCCAGCGCAGCCGUGCGCUCCGAGGCGCGCCCGUCCCCAACCGUGACUCCGGCCAGCCGGCCUCCGCAACCCAAGUGUCCCGGAAACCGGGGGUCGGACCGGGGCGAGCACUGGCUCCACCCAACGGGCCAACUCCAGCCCGGGUGGCUGCAGCAGUGGGUUUCAGGCCAAACGCUGUAGCUCGCUCCACCUGCUGCUGCCGCUGCCGCCGCCGCCGCCGCCGCCUUUGCCACUGCGAGAACUGUAGCGGUGCGACCCGGGAUUCCCUCCUCUCGGCGCCCCACCCUCGACUCCUGUUCCGCUGAGCGCGCCCUCCCCGGCGGGCGGAGACUGCAGCGCCGGGGGCUGAGGAAAGCCAUCCGACCUUGGGACUAGGGAAACGUGGACUUGGUGGGCUAUUCUGCGCUGAAGAGGCAGCAACGAGGGCUCGGUGGUAUUGGUGUUGGUCCUAGUGGAAUUGUCAAGAGGAUGCUUUUGAAGUGGCCCAGCAUCUUGGAAGUUCACCAUGCUUGCUUUGCAAGAGAUUCCUGACGCUGCAGUGAAAGAGGUCCAGUCAUUCCAGAGAGAACUUCAGUUUCAGACAAGUCAUCAAAUCCAGAAAGCAAGGAAAAAUACCCUGAAAGACGACUGGCAAAUCUCGGUGAAAGAGUAGACGCACUUCAUGGAUUGGAGUGAAUCUUAGAGCACCUGACCUGAUGCCUGGAGGUACAGCAGCCAUCUUGUGACCAUAAGGAGGAAAUCAACGCAUUAAGAAGGGAAAAGCUAAGAAGAUACAGAGAGCAGGGACCACUGACAACAUGAUCAAGCCACUCUACCAGGCCUUAACUUCCUAUUCCCUGACUUCUUAUUGAAAGAGACAAUAAAACUUCUCAUUUGUUUUAAC